AAAAGACUUGGUCCUAACCUUACUGUUGGUUGUUGCUAGGUAUAUACAUGCGAGUAUCCGCAUCCCAGUGUAGAUGCCCUGGACACCCUAAUAUUAGGCAGAUAGGAGCGGGUAUCAGGCUCACCACACCGUAGCCCAAGACGCCUUGCAAUUGCCACACCCCCACGGGUUCUCAGCAGUAGUUAAUAUUAAGCAAUGAGUGUAAACUUGACUUAGCCAUAGCAAUAGAGGGUCGGUCAAUCCUGUGCCAGCCACCGCGGUCAUACAGGAGACCCAAAUUAACAUUAUAACGGCGUAAAGGGUGGUCGCAUGUUAUCCAAGUAACUAAGAUUAAAAGGUAACUGAGCUGUCAUAAGCCCAAGAUACCCAUAAAACCACUGUUAUUAAAGAAAAUCUUAGAACAACGAUCAAUUGAAAUCCACGAAAGCCAGGGCCCAAACUGGGAUUAGAUACCCCACUAUGCCUGGCCCUAAAUCUUGAUGCUUUAUACAACUUAAGCAUCCGCCCGAGAACUACGAGCACAAACGCUUAAAACUCUAAGGACCUGGCGGUGCUCCAAACCCACCUAGAGGAGCCUGUUCUGUAAUCGAUGAUCCACGAUACUACCUGACCAUCUCUUGCCCUACCAGCCUACAUACCGCCGUCUCCAGCUCACCUACACUGAAAGCCAAACAGUGAGCGCAAUAGCCCACUCCGCUAGCAAGACAGGUCAAGGUAUAGCCUAUGGGAUGGAAGUAAUGGGCUACAUUUUCUAGAUUAGAACAUUACGGCAAAGGGACUUGAAACUGUCCCUGGAAGGAGGAUUUAGCAGUAAAGUGGGACAAUCGAGCCCUCUUUAAACCGGCUCUGGAGCACGUACAUACCGCCCGUCACCCUCCUCAAAGGCGACCAACUCCGCCCCCAUAACUAAUAAACUAUCCAGCCAAAGAUGAGGUAAGUCGUAACAAGGUAAGUGUACCGGAAGGUGCACUUAGAACACC
rnacentral:ncRNA from 1 species